AAGAUCAAGCCGCAACAGCAGCACAGCCGCCACAGCCGUCAACAGUGGUCAUGGCUGUUGGAUUUCCCCUGGCAAAACUUGGCGCGUUAGUCAUUAAACAAGUGUCCAAACCUCUUGCUAACGUUGCCAAGAAUCGCGCCAAAAACAGCCACUUCUUCAGGACGUAUGUGUUGAUGCCACCAGCCCAGUUCUAUCAUUGGUGUGAAGUUCGACUAAAAAUGUACGUCAUGAACAUUGGGAGAUCCGGACAGAAGACCACCAUACCAAAGCUGAGUGAAGAAGCAGCAAUAGAAUUGGGAGGGAAUUUACUUGGUGAAGGAGUUAUAUUUAGUAUAGCUGUAGUGAUCCUGGCUUUUGAAGUUUCACGUCAGAAAGAGAAGGAAAAGAAGAAGGAGGAAGCUGAACGAGCCUUCAUUGACAGCUUAGAAAAUCGGAUAAAUGAAUUAACAUUUGCUACUGAAGAGCUUGAUACAAAACUUCGAGAAGUGACAAGAAUAGCAUAUGCAAUGCAACACCAAGCUAAAACACAACAGUUUGAUUUUUAAUUCUGAGAAGAGCCAAAAGUGACAUGGUGCUAAUUCUAGUGAUGAGACUUGGGUUUAUGGGGAAAAUCCAGAAACCAAUUUCCAGUCCUCCCACUGCAAGCAUGCAUCAUCAAAAGCCAAAAUAGUAAAGACAAAUAGGACAUCUGAAGCUAGGGAUACAGGAGUGGAUUCUCCCAGCCAGCAUGAUGCUUCAGAAACAGACAGAUUGUUUGGGAAUAGAACAG
rnacentral:misc_RNA from 1 species